GCUGGGACAGUUUAGUGAGGCACUGCUGCAUGUCUUCAGAGACAACCUGAGAAAUGACAGGGUGUCUAUCCCCUUCCUGAAGAUGCUGGAUCAGAUGCUGGCUAGAGCCUGUUUUGACACCUUCACUACAGACCAGGAUCAUCAGUUCUGUGUGGACUUGUUGUCUCUCUGUAAGGAAGAGAUUAAGAAGUCCAAGGACACUCAGAAGCUCCGCUCCGCCAUCGCUGUGUGAGUGGGGUUUCUUUUAAC